GGAUGGGUCUCAAUUUCCACACGGACCUCGAUAUUGGUUCCUUCCCUGUGAGGACAGUCGGAACACGAGGAGAUCAAUACAAAGCUGCCAGGCAAUCGAAAGUCUCUCUGACUUCAGGAUUGUAUGCUUAAACAAAGGGGGCUCGCUCUGCGGUCGACACCAGCCGUUCCUACAGAGCGACAUGGGGACGACCCCGUAGACGUACGUCAGCAUUAGUGGCACACCCACACCUGCAGGGAAACAGAGAAAAACACAAGAGGGAGCCCCCCCAUGCAUCACUGUGGACCUCACGCAGAAUACAGUUGCUGAUACACACUGAUCCAUAAUGCUAUUCUUGGCAUAUUUAUGCUUUUUGUGGGAACCACCGUUUAUGCUCCUCUUUCGGGGAACCUAUUUCCUUUGCGAGCUUUAAAAUCUAUUCUCUCUCUUAAUUGGAGGCAAUCUAGCUUUAUUAAUCAAUUUGAUGUUUUAUCUGUUUCUCUGUUGCUUGUUUUGGUAUAUUCAUGGCUGUUACCUAUGAUCCUAAUGUUUUAUAAAUCCUGAUCGAUAUCAUAGCAUUCUCAGAUUAAAUCUGUGAUCCACUGAAUGUUUUCUAACCUCUAUGUUUUACUGUAUAUUCUGUAUACUGUAUAUUUAAUGAUGUUAUGUUAACCAGGACGUUAACAUAUAUAAGUAUAUUGAUGUUUUUAAUGCAUUUGCAAUAAUCAUAACAAGAGGUGGAAAGACAUCCCUGCAGUGGACACCUAAAACAUGAGAGACCGAGGCAAAACAGUGACCUGUUUGGCUGUUUUAUGCCAAAAAAAGAACAGAGCAGAGGUCACUACUGUAGCAAAGCCAAUUUUAUUUCAGAAGUUCGAUUUCUCCCCACUCUCUCUCCAUAACCUUCACAUAAAGUACCGUCAACAAGCACCCGAACCCGACGUGAGGCCGCCUCCCUGUGCUGUGUGAUUACGCAACCUGCGAUUGAAAUAGGAAUUUGGGAAAACAAAGCAGAGUGCCGACCAAACAAAGGGACAUCAUUAACACAGCGGGAACACUGGGACUCUAUUGACUCAGCAGCAGGGUGAAACCAGGGCAAGAGGAUGAGCCUGCCAGCCAAACAGUCGACAGAGAGACGAGUGAACCCCGGGAGGCUGUUUGAGUCACAGAGAGAGAGAGACGACAAGACACAUCAAGAUGGGGGAGCUGUGAGUGAAAUAUGAGAAACAAAAUGACAAUUGUGGUGCGAUGAGAGCACAAAACAUAUGGCGGAGAGAGGCUGAAGUGAAAAGAGAGUGGAACAUGGAGACAGGGAUAUGCAGGGACAGGAGGUCAGGGUGAAGAGUGCACUGCGGCUAAAUGUGUGUGUGUGUGUGUGUGUGUGCAUGUGUGCGAGCGUGUAAAGGGAGGGCCCAUCAGUGUGCAGUACAGCGGCGGUUGCUACACUGCAGAGGGAAGCCACAGGGCUGCUAAAGCCUUAAGGAUUUCUGUAACGAAUUAAGCCAAUGUUACCUCCAGCAGGAAGCGGCAUGAGUCAUCAAAAUGCUACUUAGCAGUGCAUGUGUGUGUGUGUGUGUGUGUGUGUGUGUGUGUUAAUGUCCUCAAGUGGAAUGUUUGCAUACAUUGCAUGAUCAUGAUUUUCAUUAAAGGAAUCCACCUAAUCUCUUUCUAACCAAGAAGAUCAUCACCACUUUGAUGUCUGUACGGUAAAUAAAACCUUUGAAAGUAGCUUAGCUUAGCCUAGGAGCAAAUCCAACAACUAGAGCCAUUAAAGCUCACUGAUAAGCAUUUUUUUUUUUUUUAACUUGCUGUCAAGUGUAAAAGUUCUCCAUUGGCAUGUUUUUACACUUCAGUUUUUGUACGGAUUAAACAAACGUGAUAUAAAGUGAGAAUCUGUUAGCUUUAGAGGUUCUUCUUUAUGCUAGCCUGUCACUACCCAAUCUUAGCAGAUGCCUGAUUUGAGUGUCUCCAGCCUUGGAUAGCUAGGUACGGCAACACCACUUGGACAAAUCACACACAGACCUACAGUAAAACGAGACAUCUGUUAAGUCGGUUUAUGAGUCUGAUUACAUUUGCAGGUAAAUACUCGAAGCCGCUGUGCAUUGUUGCCUGUCUAAGCAUAGCAAAGGUUUACUGUUCAUAUUGCUGUCAUUGUGCUCCAUCCAAAUAUCUGACCAAAUUAUACUUUUAUGCUUUGGCAAUAUUGUUCUUACAAUUUCCAUACCAAUAAAGCUCCUUGAAUUAAA